rnacentral:snRNA from 1 species
AUACUUACCUGUUGCCGGGACCUCGUUGAUCAUCGGGGACGAGCCCCCAGGGCGAGGCGCGGGCAUUGCUCUGCGCUCGCGUUGACCCCUGCUACUACCCCAAACUGGGGCAGAUGGGGCACGCAAAUUGCUUAAAUCCGGUUGAACUCAACAGAGGACGCCACC